rnacentral:ncRNA from 1 species
UACCUGGUUGAUUCUGCCAGUAGUCAUAUGCUUGUCUCAAAGAUUAAGCCAUGCAUGUCUAAGUAUAAGCAAUCAUACUGUGAAACUGCGAAUGGCUCAUUAAAUCAGUUAUCGUUUAUUUGAUAGUACCUUUACCUGGAUAACCGUGGUAAUUCUAGAGCUAAUACAUGCUAAAAACCCCGACUUCGGAAGGGGUGUAUUUAUUAGAUAAAAAACCAAUGCCCUCUGGGCUCCUUGGUGAUUCAUAAUAACUUAACGAAUCGCAUGGCCUUGCGCCGGCGAUGGUUCAUUCAAAUUUCUGCCCUAUCAAUUUUCGAUGGUAGAGUAGUGGUCUACCAUGAUCUUAACGGGUAACGGGGAAUUAGGGUUCUAUUCCGGAGAAGGAGCCUGAGAAACGGCUACUACAUCCAAGGAAGGCAGCAGGCGCGCAAAUUACCCAAUGCUAAUUCAGCGAGGUAGUGACAAUAAAUACUGAUACGGGGCUCUUUCGGGUCUCGUAAUUGGAAUGAGUACAAUCUAAAUCCCUUAACGAGGAACAAUUGGAGGGCAAGUCUGGUGCCAGCAGCCGCGGUAAUUCCAGCUCCAAUAGCGUAUAUUAAAGUUGUUGCCGUUAAAAAGCUCGUAGUUGAACCUUGGACCUGGCUGAUCUGUCCUCCUAAUCGAGCGCACGGAUUCGGUCGGGUCUUUCCUUCUGGGGAGCCCUAUGCCCUUCACUGGGUGUAGUGGGGAACCAGGACUUUUACCUUGAAAAAAUUAGAGUGUUCAAAGCAGGCCUUUGCUCGAAUACAUUAGCAUGGAAUAAUAGAAUAGGACAUCGGUUCUAUUUUGUUGGUUUCUAGGACCGCUGUAAUGAUUAAUAGGGAUAGUCGGGGGCGUCAGUAUUCAAUUGUCAGAGGUGAAAUUCUUGGAUUUAUUGAAGACUAACUACUGCGAAAGCAUUCGCCAAGGAUGUUUUCAUUAAUCAGUGAACGAAAGUUAGGGGAUCGAAGACGAUCAGAUACCGUCGUAGUCUUAACCAUAAACUAUGCCGACUAGGGAUCGGACGGUGGUUUUUUUAUGCCCCGUUCGGCACCUUACGAGAAAUCAAAGUUUUUGGGCUCGGGGGG